rnacentral:rRNA from 1 species
AGCGAACGCUGGCGGCAGGCCUAACACAUGCAAGUCGAACGGAUCCUUCGGGAUUAGUGGCGGACGGGUGAGUAACACGUGCGAACGUGCCCUUUGGUUCGGCACAACUCAGGGAAACUUGAGCUAAUACCGGAUGUGCCCUUCGGGGGAAAGAUUUAUCGCCAUUGGUGCGGCCCGCGUCUGAUUAGCUAGUUGGUGAGGUAACGGCCCACCAAGGCGACGAUCAGUAGCUGGUUUGAGAGGAUGGUCAGCCACACUGAGACUGAGACACGGCCCAGACUCCUACGGGAGGCAGCAGUGGGUAAUCUUGCGCAAUGGGCGAAAGCCUGACGCAGCCAUGCCGCGUGAAUGAUGAAGGUCUUAGGAUUGUAAAAUUCUUUCAGCGGGGAAGAUAAUGACGGUACCCGCAGAAGAAGCUCCGGCUAACUUCGUG